rnacentral:rRNA from 1 species
GAUGAACGCUGGCGGCGUGCUUAACACAUGCAAGUCGAACGAAGCACUUUAUUUGAUUUCCUUCGGGACUGAUUAUUUUGUGACUGAGUGGCGGACGGGUGAGUAACGCGUGGGUAACCUGCCUUGUACAGGGGGAUAACAGUUGGAAACGGCUGCUAAUACCGCAUAAGCGCACAGCAUCGCAUGAUGGAGUGUGAAAAACUCCGGUGGUAUAAGAUGGACCCGCGUUGGAUUAGCUAGUUGGUGAGGUAACGGCCCACCAAGGCGACGAUCCAUAGCCGACCUGAGAGGGUGACCGGCCACAUUGGGACUGAGACACGGCCCAAACUCCUACGGGAGGCAGCAGUGGGGAAUAUUGCACAAUGGGCGAAAGCCUGAUGCAGCGACGCCGCGUGAGCGAAGAAGUAUUUCGGUAUGUAAAGCUCUAUCAGCAGGGAAGAUAAUGACGGUACCUGACUAAGAAGCACCGGCUAAAUACGUG